rnacentral:rRNA from 1 species
AUUGAACGCUGGCGGCAUGCCUUACACAUGCAAGUCGAACGGCAGCACGGGUGCUUGCACCUGGUGGCGAGUGGCGAACGGGUGAGUAAUACAUCGGAACGUACCUUAUCGUGGGGGAUAACGCAGCGAAAGUUGCGCUAAUACCGCAUACGCCCUGAGGGGGAAAGCGGGGGACCGUAAGGCCUCGCGCGAUUAGAGCGGCCGAUGUCUGAUUAGCUUGAUGGUGAGGGAAAAGCUCACCAAGGCGAUGAUCAGUAGCUGGUCUGAGAGGACGAUCAGCCACACUGGGACUGAGACACGGCCCAGACUCCUACGGGAGGCAGCAGUGGGGAAUUUUGGACAAUGGGGGCAACCCUGAUCCAGCAAUGCCGCGUGAGUGAAGAAGGCCUUCGGGUUGUAAAGCUCUUUUGUCAGGGAAGAAACAGCAGCUCUAACACAGUCUGCGAAUGACGGUACCUGAAGAAUAAGCACCGGCUAACUACGUGCCAGCAGCCGCUGUAA